GAAUUCGCCCUUAGAGUUUGAUCCUGGCUCAGGAUGAACGCUGGCGGCGUGCCUAACACAUGCAAGUCGAACGGAGCGCCCGGACGGAGUAUUUCGGUACAAAGACCGGGUGGCUGAGUGGCGGACGGGUGAGUAACGCGUGGACAACCUGCCGUGUACAGGGGGAUAACAGCCGGAAACGGCUGCUAAUACCGCAUAUGCGCACAGUGCCGCAUGGCACAGUGCGGAAAGCCUAGAUCUUAUCUAGUACGGUACACGAUGGGUCCGCGUCUGAUUAGGUAGUUGGCGGGGUAACGGCCCACCAAGCCCACGAUCAGUAGCCGGCCUGAGAGGGCGGACGGCCACACUGGGACUGAGACACGGCCCAGACUCCUGCGGGAGGCAGCAGUGGGGAAUAUUGCACAAUGGGGGGAACCCUGAUGCAGCGACGCCGCGUGAAGGAAGAAGUAUCUCGGUAUGUAAACUUCUAUCAGCAGGGAAGAAAGAGGACGGUACCUGACUAAGAAGCCCCGGCUAACUACGUGCCAGCAGCCGCGGUAAUACGUAGGGGGCGAGCGUUAUCCGGAUUUACUGGGUGUAAAGGGAGCGUAGACGGCCAUGCAAGCUCGGUGUGAAAGGUGCGGGCACAACCCGCAGACUGCACUGAGAACUGUAUGGCUGGAGUGCCGGAGGGGCAGGCGGAAUUCCCGGUGUAGCGGUGAAAUGCGUAGAGAUCGGGAGGAACACCAGUGGCGAAGGCGGCCUACUGGGCUUUAACUGACGCUGAGGCACGAAAGCGUGGGUAGCAAACAGGAUUAGAUACCCUGGUAGUCCACGCUGUAAACGAUGAUUACUAGGUGUGGGUGGACUGACCCCAUCCGUGCCGGAGUUAACACAAUAAGUAAUCCACCUGGGGAGUACGGCCGCAAGGCUGAAACUCAAAGGAAUUGACGGGGGCCCGCACAAGCAGUGGAGUAUGUGGAUUAAUUCGAUGCAACGCGAAGAACCUUACCAGGUCUUGACAUCCCGCUAACGAGGUAGAGAUACGUUAGGUGCCCUUCGGGGAAAGCGGAGACAGGUGGUGCAUGGUUGUCGUCAGCUCGUGUCGUGAGAUGUUGGGUUAAGUCCCGCAACGAGCGCAACCCUUACUGUUAGUUGCUACGCAAGAGCACUCUAGCAGGACCGCCGUUGACAAAACGGAGGAAGGUGGGGAUGAUGUCAAAUCAUCAUGCCCCUUAUGACCUGGGCCUCACACGUACUACAAUGGCCAUUAACAGAGGGAGGCAAAGCCGCGAGGCAGAGCAAAACCCUAAAAAUGGUCCCAGUUCGGAUCGCAGGCUGCAACCCGCCUGCGUGAAGUUGGAAUUGCUAGUAAUCGCGGAUCAGCAUGCCGCGGUGAAUACGUUCCCGGGCCUUGCACUCACCGCCCGUCA
rnacentral:rRNA from 1 species